GAUGAACGCUGGCGGCGUGCCUAAUACAUGCAAGUCGAGCGAACAGACGAGGAGCUUGCUCCUCUGACGUUAUCGGCGGACGGGAGAGUCACACGUGGAUAACCUACCUCUCAGACUGGGAUACCUUCGGGAGACCAGAUCUACUACCGGAUAAUAUAUUGACCCGCAUGGUUCCCUCGUGAAAGUCGGUUUUGCUUUCACUUAUAGAUUAAUACGCGCCGCAUUAGCUAGUUGUUUAGGUAACGGGUUACCAAGGCGACGAUGCGUAGCCGACCUGAGCGGGUGAUCGGCUACACGGGAAGAGAGACACGGCCCAGACUCCUACGGGAGGCAGCAGUAGGGAAUCUUCCGCAAGGGGCGAAAGCCUGACGGAGCAACGUCGCGUGAGUGAUGAAGGUGCUCGGAUCGGAAAACUAUGAUAGUAGGGAAGAACAAAUGUGUAAGUAACUAUGAACGUAUUGACGGUACCUAAACAGAAAGCCACGGCUAACUACGUG
rnacentral:rRNA from 1 species